rnacentral:piRNA from 1 species
UACAGUGGAGGGUGCCCCUCUCACC